rnacentral:rRNA from 1 species
GACGAACGCUGGCGGUGUGCCUAACACAUGCAAGUCAACUUGACUGAAGGAGCAAUCUGACAGUAGAGUGGCGCAAGGGUGCGUAACGCGUAAGUAACUUGCCCAAGGUAAGGAAUAACGUCGAGAAAUCGGCGCUAAUACCUCAUAAUGCAGCGGAUCCGCAUGGAUAUGUUGUUAAAGGUUUACCGCCUUGGGAUAGGCUUGCGUCUGAUUAGCUAGUUGGUGUGGUAACGGCACACCAAGGCUACGAUCAGUAACUGGUCUGAGAGGAUGAUCAGUCACACUGGAACUGGGACACGGUCCAGACUCCUACGGGAGGCAGCAGUGAGGAAUAUUGGGCAAUGCUCGAAAGAGUGACCCAGCAACGCCGCGUGGAGGAUGAAGGUAUUCUAUAUCGUAAACUCCUGUGAGAGCAGACGAAAGACAGAUUAUAAUCUGGAUGACUGUAUGCUCAGAGGAAGCCCCGGCUAACUACGU